CGCCCUUAGAGUUUGAUCAUGGCUCAGAAUGAACGCUGGCGGCGCGCCUAACACAUGCAAGUCGAGCGAGAAAGUUUCUUCGGAAAUGAGUACAGCGGCGGACGGUUGAGUAACACGUGAGAAUCUGCCCUUCAAUGAAGGAUACCCUCGAGAAAUCGAGGUUAAUACUGCAUACGUCCCUUCGGGGAGAAAGAUGGCUUAUUUAGCUGUCGUUGAAGGAUGAGCUUGCGGCCUAUCAGUUUGUUGGCGGGGUAAUGGCCCACCAAGACUAUGACGGGUAGCCGGCCUGAGAGGGUGAUCGGCCAGAUUGGAACUGAGACACGGUCCAGACUCCUACGGGAGGCAGCAGUGAGGAAUCUUGCGCAAUGGGCGAAAGCCUGACGCAGCGACGCCGCGAAAAUGACAUCAAAAACGCCAUUAACCUGAUGUUCUGGGGAAUAUAAAUGUCAGGCAUGAGAUUAUCAAAAAGGAUCUUCACCUAGAUCCUUUUCACGUAGAAAGCCAGUCCGCAGAAACGGUGCUGACCCCGGAUGAAUGUCA
rnacentral:ncRNA from 1 species